UACGAAGGGGGCUAGCGUUGCUCGGAAUCACUGGGCGUAAAGCGCACGUAGGCGGCUUUUUAAGUCAGAGGUGAAAUCCUGGAGCUCAACUCCAGAACUGCCUUUGAUACUGGAGAGCUUGAGUCCGGGAGAGGUGAGUGGAACUGCGAGUGUAGAGGUGAAUUCGUAGAUAUUCGCAAGAACACCAGUGGCGAAGGCGGCUCACUGGCCCGGUACUGACGCUGAGGUGCGAAAGCGUGGGGAGCAAAGCAGG
rnacentral:rRNA from 1 species